AUGCUCGUGCUCCCAAACGGGACUGCAGGCAGCACUUACUGCCCAUCGCAGCCGGCCAGGAGCACAGCUCAGUACUUCCCUUCCGCCAGUGCCGAGGAGCAGCCCGGGCUUCCAGGGGCAGAACGCGCCAGCAGCUCUGACACUGUCCCGCCAUGGCUCCGGGACUUCCCGUGCCCCUCAGGCACGGCCCCCGCCGCCAUCUUGCUAGCGGCGCCGCUCCGCGGUGCGGAGCCGGGCCGUGUGCUGCCCUCUGCCCGCCGCGGUGCGGGGCCGGGCCGCGCGGUGCCCUCUGCCCGCCGCGGUGUGGGGCCGGGCCGGGCGGUGCCCCCUGCCCGCCGCGGUGUGGGGCCGGGCCGUGUGGUGCCCCCUGCCCGCCGCGGUGUGGGGCCGGGCCGUGUGGUGCCCCCUGCCCGCCGCGGUGUGGGGCCGGGCGCCGCGGAGCCCCGGCUCGCCAUGGCGGGGCGCCGGGCGCUGUGGAGCGGCACCGUGCAGCUCGUCGCGCUGCCCUCGGCCGCCGGCUGGUCAGGUGGAACGCCGCAGCCGUACAACAGUUUCUACUGGACACCUUCAGAGCCGCCGCCGUGGAAGGGGUGGAGCGGCACCAUGGAGGAGGAGGAGAAGGGGGACGAGACUCUUCAGGGGAGGCAGCAGCAGCCCGGGAGCUCUCCUGAAAAAGGUAUGGAUAAGAACACAGACCAAGAACAGCCUUCAAGUGCCUGUAACCAGUACCCUAAAGAAGCAGUGAAGAAACGUCAGAAUUCGGGUCGAGGUUCCGGAGGCAAUUCCGAUUCUUACAGGACCUUCAGAAAAAGCUUCAGGCUGGACUACAGAUUAGAAGAGGAUGUAACUAAAUCAAAGAGAGGCAAAGAUGGGAGAUUUGUCAACCCGUGGCCAACAUGGAAAUCACCAACCUUACCCAACAUUUUGAAAUGGUCCUUCAUGGAAAAAAAUAACAGCAAUGUGCCACGCUCCAAGCAGGAACUCGACAAAGAACUCCCAGUGUUACAACCUUACUUUGUUCAAACACCAGAAGAUGCUGGGAAGACAGGAGCUGGUAUGCGAGUCACAUGGCUGGGACAUGCCACAGUUAUGGUGGAAAUGGAUGAACUCGUAUUUCUUACUGACCCCAUUUUCAGCCAGAGAGCCUCCCCUGUUCAGCUCUUGGGUCCUAAGCGCUUCCGAGGGCCUCCGUGCACGGUGGCGCAGCUGCCCAAGAUAGACGCGGUGCUGAUCAGCCACACGCACUACGAUCACCUGGACUACAACAGCGUGGCCAGCCUGAACCAGCGCUUCGGGAGCGAGCUGCGCUGGUUUGUGCCCCUGGGGCUCCUGCAGUGGAUGCAGAGAUGUGGUUGUGAGAAUGUGAUCGAACUGGAUUGGUGGGAGGAGAACUGUGUCCCUGGUCAUGAUGCGGUAACUUUUGUCUUCACCCCUUCCCAGCAUUGGUGUAAAAGGACUGUGACAGAUGAUAACAAGGUUCUCUGGGGCAGCUGGUCUGUCUUGGGACCUUGGAAUAGGUUUUUCUUUGCAGGAGAUACUGGAUAUUGUUUUGCUUUUGAACAAAUAGGUAAAAGAUUUGGACCUUUUGAUCUUGCAGCCAUCCCCAUUGGAGCCUAUGAACCAAGGUGGUUUAUGAAAUACCAGCACGUGGAUCCUGAAGAAGCAGUAAGAAUCCAUAUUGAUGUUCAAGCAAAGAAGUCUGUAGCAAUUCACUGGGGGACCUUUGCUUUAGCAAAUGAGUAUUACUUGGAUCCUCCGGUUAAAUUGAAUGAAGCUCUUGAAAGAUAUGGCUUGAAAAAAGAUGACUUCUUUCUCUUACGCCAUGGAGAAUCACGGAAUUUGAAUACAAAUGACCGAUUUGAAAACUGAAACAGUGUCAGUUCCUUAUUCAAUAACUACUUGGGGUGAUACAAUGUAUAUUACCUGUUUGUAAUUUUGUGGAGGACACCACGCUGCAGGAAGUUUUGAGUACUUUGAAGGACAAGUUUAAGAUUAAGGUUGGUUUUGUUAUGGGUUGUUUUCCUGUUUUUAUAAACAUCAAUAGGUUAUUCUGUAAAAUUAUUUACUUCAGAAAGAGUGAAACUAAAAUACAGAACACCUAGCUAAGCAUCCACAGAGCAGAGAUAUACUGAGUUACAUGGAUCAGAAACUAAAUGUCAGUAAUGACACGUGUUGCUUUGGAUCUGCUAAUUCUCAACAUUUGUUCCUAGAAUGGUGACCGUUACAUUUUGCUUAGUGAUGAUAAGAUUCCACCAAGGGUGUGAGGUGGGUGAUAAAAAUGAGACAUCUUUGCAAAAAGGCACACUGGAAAGUCUUGUAUGAUUUCAAACAUCUCAACAGCAUUGUUCUAUGAAGAAAACAUUUAAAAAUAGCUCUUUAUAGACCAGAAAACGAAAACUGAGACAAUGCUGUAGUAAGUUUUCAUGUAUUUUUAGAAAAGAUUACUUGUUUCUGUCAGCUGUCAAAACAAUGGAUAAGAGAUCAACUCUAUCAAAAAGAUGGUACUUGAAAAAAUUAUUUUUAGGUUGGAGAACACAGAAAGGGACAUCUAGAUAUCUCUGUUGUUGAGCUUAAGAAACCAUGUAUCAGCUAUAACUAGAACAGACUGGUCUUAAUGUCUUGUCAGGAGAGCAGUGGGUAAAUUCUUAGUGUCUGGCCUAGUCUUUAUUUUUCUUAGUCAAAUUCAGUAGGAGAAAACAUUAAAUCUACAAAAAGUUGCAAAACGUUAAGUGAUUGCAAUGUAACUUGCUUAUUACAAACUGUACAGUGUUUUAGGAGCAGUGGGAAGGAGAAAAGGAAGUUCACUUUCAAUGCAGCAAUUGUCAAGUUUCUGACUGGGAAUCAUGCCAACUUCUAUUUCUGCCUUAACUGUAUUCCUGGUGAGUUAAAACUACCUAAGUGGAUAUUUUAGAUACGUGUAGCUUUACCCCUGUAUUGAUCAGGGCAUGGGUGUGCCACAGUUUCAAGGUCAUAUUUUUCUUGCAGUUUUAGCUAUUUGCAAAGUGACCUUCUGAAAACAAGGUGCUAUUGCAUUACAGAAAGAGAAGAUAGUAAUGUUUUCUUAAGAGCAGAGUUUAGGUGAUACAGUUCUCUUAAAAACAGAACAAAGUGGAAAACUUUCCUAGCCUUUACAUCUGACACCUUUCUUAGUUUCUCUGUAGUGGAAGUUUUUUAGUAAUUAGGUUCUAGAAGUAUUUUCCAGUAUGUUUUCUUUUCAUCAGUGAAACUCUGUUCAGGUUCUUUUACAAUUGUGUUUGUAUGGAUUCCGCUUCAUUUUGAAUUAAUGCUGGGUUGCUGACUAAAACUUUACAGGGGCUAAUUCUGCAGAAGCACUCAUUCCAGUGAUGCUCCAGUUGCAGAAAAAAAAGGAGUAAAGAUAUCCAUGGAAAGAAGCCCAAGGGCUGCUACAGAAUUGGAAGCUUUUGUAAAAAAGUGGUGAUGCAGCAAAGAUGCCAGUCUCUGAGCGAAUGGGGCAGAGUCCCUGCAGAGUGUGAAGAAAACUGAGUCUUCAUUGUAUUCCUCAAUCACGAUGCCUUCUUCAUCAUUCAUGUUCUUUUUCAAGUUUGCUGCAAAUACCAGGGCUCGAACCAGAAUAUCUCUGUUUACACAGCUGUCAAAAAGCAACACCAUUGAUGGCACCUAGGAUAUUGAAGAAAUAGUCCAUACUUAACCACCAGCAGUAAGUAUGUGUAACUAAAUCACACUUCAGAAAAUGGAAAAAAAUGCACCUAAGCCAUCUAAACAAGAAAUUGUAUGAAAUCCCAGCAUGCUCUGAACUCCUGUCAGAAACUUGCACAGUGUGCACAUUUUCUCUUUAGAAAAGACUGGCCUGUGCAUCAAUGGGCUAAUAAAUGCUUUGUAUUUUCAAUCUCCAAAA